CCUACGGGAGGCAGCAGUGGGGAAUAUUGCACAAUGGGGGAAACCCUGAUGCAGCAACGCCGCGUGAGUGAAGAAGUAUCUCGGUACGUAAAGCUCUAUCAGCAGGGAAGAAAAUGACGGUACCUGACUAAGAAGCCCCGGCUAACUACGUGCCAGCAGCCGCGGUAAUACGUAGGGGGCACGCGUUAUCCGGAUUUACUGGGUGAAAAGGGAGCGUAGACGGUGUGGCAAGUCUGAAGUGAAAGCCCGGGGCUCAACCCCGGGACUGCUUUGGAAACUGUCAUGCUGGAGUGCUGGAGAGGAGAGCGGAAUUCCUAGUGUAGCGGUGAAAUGCGUAGAUAUUAGGAGGAACACCAGUGGCGAAGGCGGCUUACUGGACAGUAACUGACGUUGAGGCUCGAAAGCGUGGGGAGCAAACAGGAUUAGAUACCCUUGUAGUC
rnacentral:rRNA from 1 species